AAUCAAAUACUUCAUUCUCAAUGUAGCAAGCCUUGCACAUACCUACUAAUGAUCAACAAGAUAGACACAUUUCCUGAAUUCUUUUUAGAAAAAAAAAAUAGUUGAAGAACUCGAAAGAAUUCGAUGGAUGAAUGGAGCAGAGCCCCAUUAGAAGGCCCGGCCCAAUUGCAGCGCCGUCACAACCCUCCGAAGAGCAAGAAGAGGAGCAUGAGAGCCAUAGCGAAGGGUUUUGUCAAUGCCAUGAGCCUCCGUUCCAAGCUAUCUGCUUUCCUCAAGAAAGCCACUGCUUUUGCCGGCGCCUCUGCCGGAGCAUCCAGUACCUCUGCGGCAGCUGCCUCCCCUUCUUCUCAGAAUAGGCGGUUCUCAUCCUCCACCGACAUGGCCGAUGGCUCCGUGAGGACGCUUCGCACCCGGCUCUGCGUCAUCGGGAGUGGCCCCGCCGCCCACACGGCGGCGAUUUACGCUGCCCGGGCGGAGCUCAAGCCUGUCCUCUUCGAGGGAUGGAUGGCCAACGACAUCGCCCCCGGCGGCCAGCUUACCACCACCACCGACGUCGAGAACUUCCCAGGGUUUCCUGAGGGGAUCAUGGGGCACGAGCUCAUGGACCGGUGCCGCGCGCAGUCUGUCCGCUUUGGAACUGAGAUCCUCACAGAGACCGUGACCAAAGUCGACCUGAGCGUCCGCCCCUUUCGUGUUUUCUCCUCCUCCACCGCUGUCGAGGCGGACGCUGUUGUUGUCGCCACUGGCGCCGUCGCACGUCGGCUUCACUUUCCGGGGGGAGAGGAGUUCUGGAACAAGGGAAUAUCUGCUUGCGCGGUCUGCGACGGGGCAGCACCUCUCUUUCGGAAUCACCCCAUCGCAGUGAUCGGUGGCGGAGACUCAGCUAUGGAAGAAGCCAACUUCCUGACCAAGUACGGAUCCAAAGUCUACAUUGUGCACCGCCGGGACGCUUUCAGGGCGUCGAAGAUCAUGCAGGCGAGGGCGCUCGGAAACCCAAAGAUUCAGGUGCUGUGGGACUCAGAGGUAGUGGAGGCCUACGGGGAGAACCAGGGAACUCUCUCUGGCGUGAAGGUGAGGAACGUGGUCAGUGGAGAGGUCUCUGACCUCAAGGUCUCUGGUCUCUUUUUCGCAAUAGGCCAUGAGCCAGCCACCAAGUUCCUUGAAGGGCAGCUGGAACUGGGAUCCGAUGGGUACAUUGUAACAAAGCCGGGGACGACUCACACCAGCGUGAAGGGUGUCUUUGCUGCAGGGGACGUGCAAGAUAAGAAGUACCGGCAGGCCAUCACAGCUGCUGGAUCAGCACAUCCCUUGGAUCGUUUAGCAUCAGAGGCAAACCUCUAGCUAUUGUAGUGAACCUACCUUGGUUGGAAUUAGAGGAGGAAAAGUCACGCUGAGGAGAAGAAUAUGGGAUGAAAGAAGGAAGAAGAGGAAAAGGAAGAAGAGUGGUGGCAACACAUAGCUUUUUGUACACACUUAAGAGAGUAAUAUGAGAAGAAUGUUGCAUGGCUGCUUUGGAUGCGGAACAUUAUUUGCAGGAGGUUGGAGCUCAGGAGCCAAACACUGAAUGACUAUCUUCAGAUGCCCUGAAACAAUCUCCAAAGAUACUUAUUUUCAGCCAGAAAGGAAAGCUUCGAAGAGCAGUAAGAUUGUUUGAAAAUGAACUUUUCAAUUGUCAUAUUUGGAUUAUAUUGGUACAUUCUCACACUGUGUUAAAGGUGUCGAUUUCAUGCACUAAAACGCAUUCCCUGUGCAUCUCGGAAUGAAUAUUCAUUUAAUUUGCAGUGAAAUUCAAGUGUUUGAUUAUGCUCA